AGCAGUAGCCGCGGGAACACAGAGGGUGCGAGCGUUAAUCGGAUUUACUGGGCGUAAAGCGUGCGUAGGCGGCUUCUUAAGUCGGAUGUGAAAUCCCUGAGCUUAACUUAGGAAUUGCAUUCGAUACUGGGAAGCUAGAGUAUGGGAGAGGAUGGUAGAAUUCCAGGUGUAGCGGUGAAAUGCGUAGAGAUCUGGAGGAAUACCGAUGGCGAAGGCAGCCAUCUGGCCUAAUACUGACGCUGAGGUACGAAAGCAUGGGGAGCAAACAGGAUUAGAUACCCGUGUAGUCCCUGUCUCUUAUAC
rnacentral:rRNA from 1 species